rnacentral:tRNA from 1 species
GCAGAGGUAGCUCAGUCGGUAGAGCAUCAGACAAAAAAUGUGCUAAGUAUUAGCACUAACAGCAAUGUUAAAGGAAUCCGAGUGUCGGAGGUUCGAGUCCUCCCCUCUGCG